rnacentral:lncRNA from 15 species
CUGGAUUACAUUAAAUGCUCCUUAUUUAUCCCGAGGCCGUAAUGGUUUUGGCUUGCCACUUGACAGCUUUAAACACAAGGGCUUAGCAGUGGGACAGUAUCAGCAGAGGAGGAAAACAACAUUCAUUAACAACCUUUGACCUAUUCACAGACUCUCUUUAUCUGCUCUUUCCCAUACACUUUGUCUUGUGAGACAGAGAAAGGAGGAAUAAGUGGACAGAGAGGAGAACAAUUCUACAGUUUUCCAGGACGUCUGAACAGGACUGGUUGAAUGGAAGAGGAUACAGUUCUCUGGGAAGGGAGGAAACAAUGAUUCGGGUGAUAACUGAGCAGUUCUUUAAAAGGGAGCUUCAUGUAGAGAAGCUGUGGGACGCAAACACUACAGUUUGGAACAAUUAGCAGACCAGUCAGCGUUUAACAAAGAGACCCCAGUGUUUCCAGUCAGGAGUUCCAGAGCGAGUGAGGCAGAGGCAACGUGACUCUUCUGGUGGUGCUGUGAUGUGGGGGAAAAUUCCAAUUUGAUUGUGGGACACGUUUGUAUUUAAUUACGUGAAUGGGUUGAUUUUGAAUAGCAGAGUUUCUUCCUGCGUUUUGACAGCAUUUCUGCGUGGUGUGCUUUUUUUUCAUGUAAUAAAAUAUAUAACUUAUG